AACUUGAAAGUUUAGGCUCGGCCCAUUAAACUGUUUGGGCUUGCUCAAGAAAUUAUCAAAUGUUACAUUACAUGGAAAUAUCUGUUUCAACUUUCAAGUCAAGAUGUUGAAAUUGUCUACCUACUGCUACUGAAAUAUAUGUAUAAAUAUAUAUGUAUGUAAGUUCAUCAACCACUAAUGUUAUUGAAAUUGAAUAUUUCAACAUUCGGUUACUUUUCCUAAUUUGCUACAAGAAAUCUUGUCCUCAAGGUUGACAAUAUACCCUCUAUAUAUAUUAUACAAAUCAAAGCACGGCAUCACACCACACCACAACGCGGAUUCUAAUUCUGAAAAUGAAGUUCGGGGGUGUUACUUUGUUCUUGCUAGUUCUUUUUACACUUGUUCUGAUUUCAUCGGAAGGAAGACACCUUCAAAGCUCUCCACAAUCCGAGAUUAAUGACCCAUCUGGAUCGAUGACUAAAUUAAUAAAAGGAGAAACCCGUAGGGAACUAGCAGGAAGUUAUGGUUGUUGGAAAUGUUGGGGUAAGCAUGGUCGUAAUCGUCGCCUAUUGACCAUAUGGUUGGGUUGAAUUUGGAUAUUUUUAUGAGAACAUGUGGUUGAUUGAUUCAUAUUUAUUACGUACCAUAUAUGCUGCUAAUAUGAAUAAAAGGUUAAAGAUAUCUAUUAUGUACAAGUAAACAUAUAUGCUAAUAUGAAUAAAAGGUUAAAUAUUUUUUAUGCA